rnacentral:rRNA from 1 species
UUAAGCGACUAAGCGUACACGGUGGAUGCCCUGGCAGUCAGAGGCGAUGAAGGACGUGCUAAUCUGCGAAAAGCGUCGGUAAGGUGAUAUGAACCGUUAUAACCGGCGAUGUCCGAAUGGGGAAACCCAGUGCAAUUCGUUGCACUAUCGUUAACUGAAUACAUAGGUUAACGAGGCGAACCGGGGGAACUGAAACAUCUAAGUACCCCGAGGAAAAGAAAUCAACCGAGAUUCCCCCAGUAGCGGCGAGCGAACGGGGAGCAGCCCGGAGUCUGAAUCAGCUUGUGUGUUAGUGGAAGCGUCUGGAAAGUCGCAGGGUACAGGGUGAUACUCCCGUACACUAAAACACACAGGUUGUGAACUCGAAGAGUAGGGCGGGACACGUGGUAUCCUGUCUGAAUAUGGGGGGACCAUCCUCCAAGGCUAAAUACUCCUGACUGACCGAUAGUGAACCAGUACCGUGAGGGAAAGGCGAAAAGAACCCCGGCGAGGGGAGUGAAAAAGAACCUGAAACCGUGUACGUACAAGCAGUAGGAGCCCACUAGUUGGGUGACUGCGUACCUUUUGUAUAAUGGGUCAGCGACUUAUAUUCUGUAGCAAGGUUAACCGUAUAGGGGAGCCGCAGGGAAACCGAGUCUUAACUGGGCGUUAAGUUGCAGGGUAUAGACCCGAAACCCGGUGAUCUAGCCAUGGGCAGGUUGAAGGUUGGGUAACACUAACUGGAGGACCGAACCGACUAAUGUUGAAAAAUUAGCGGAUGACUUGUGGCUGGGGGUGAAAGGCCAAUCAAACCGGGAGAUAGCUGGUUCUCCCCGAAAGCUAUUUAGGUAGCGCCUCGUGAAUUCAUCUUCGGGGGUAGAGCACUGUUUCGGCUAGGGGGUCAUCCCGACUUACCAACCCGAUGCAAACUACGAAUACCGAAGAAUGUUAUCACGGGAGACACACGGCGGGUGCUAACGUCCGUCGUGAAGAGGGAAACAACCCAGACCGCCAGCUAAGGUCCCAAAGUCAUGGUUAAGUGGGAAACGAUGUGGGAAGGCCCAGACAGCCAGGAUGUUGGCUUAGAAGCAGCCAUCAUUUAAAGAAAGCGUAAUAGCUCACUGGUCGAGUCGGCCUGCGCGGAAGAUGUAACGGGGCUAAACCAUGCACCGAAGCUGCGGCAGCGACACUAUGUGUUGUUGGGUAGGGGAGCGUUCUGUAAGCCGUUGAAGGUGGCCUGUGAGGGUUGCUGGAGGUAUCAGAAGUGCGAAUGCUGACAUAAGUAACGAUAAUGCGGGUGAAAAACCCGCACGCCGGAAGACCAAGGGUUCCUGUCCAACGUUAAUCGGGGCAGGGUGAGUCGACCCCUAAGGCGAGGCCGAAAGGCGUAGUCGAUGGGAAACAGGUUAAUAUUCCUGUACUUGGUGUUACUGCGAAGGGGGGACGGAGAAGGCUAUGUUGGCCGGGCGACGGUUGUCCCGGUUUAAGCAUGUAGGCGGAUGUUCCAGGUAAAUCCGGAACGUCACUAACGCUGAGGUGUGAUGACGAGGCACUACGGUGCUGAAGUGACAAAUGCCCUGCUUCCAGGAAAAGCCUCUAAGCAUCAGGUAACAUCAAAUCGUACCCCAAACCGACACAGGUGGUCAGGUAGAGAAUACCAAGGCGCUUGAGAGAACUCGGGUGAAGGAACUAGGCAAAAUGGUGCCGUAACUUCGGGAGAAGGCACGCUGAUGGUAGGUGAAGUGACUUGCUCAUGGAGCUGAAAUCAGUCGAAGAUACCAGCUGGCUGCAACUGUUUAUUAAAAACACAGCACUGUGCAAACACGAAAGUGGACGUAUACGGUGUGACGCCUGCCCGGUGCCGGAAGGUUAAUUGAUGGGGUUAUCCUCGCGGAGAAGCUCUUGAUCGAAGCCCCGGUAAACGGCGGCCGUAACUAUAACGGUCCUAAGGUAGCGAAAUUCCUUGUCGGGU